AGUGAACGCUGGCGGUAGGCCUAACACAUGCAAGUCGAACGGCAGCACAGUAAGAGCUUGCUCUUACGGGUGGCGAGUGGCGGACGGGUGAGGAAUACAUCGGAAUCUACUUUUUCGUGGGGGAUAACGUAGGGAAACUUACGCUAAUACCGCAUACGACCUACGGGUGAAAGCAGGGGAUCUUCGGACCUUGCGCGAUUGUAUGAGCCGAUGUCGGAUUAGCUAGUUGGCGGGGUAAAGGCCCACCAAGGCGACGAUCCGUAGCUGGUCUGAGAGGAUGAUCAGCCACACUGGAACGGAGACACGGUCCAGACUCCUACGGGAGGCAGCAGUGGGGAAUAUUGGACAAUGGGCGCAAGCCUGAUCCAGCCAUACCGCGUGGGUGAAGAAGGCCUUCGGGUUGUAAAGCCCUUUUGUUGGGAAAGAAAAGCAGCAGGUUAAUACCCCGCUGUUCUGACGGUACCCAAAGAAUAAGCACCGGCUAACUUCGUG
rnacentral:rRNA from 1 species